rnacentral:rRNA from 1 species
GACGAACGCUGGCGGCGUGCUUAACACAUGCAAGUCGAACGAAGUGGCGAACGGGUGAGUAACGCGUAAUCAACCUGCCCUUCAGAGGGGGACAACAGUUGGAAACGACUGCUAAUACCGCAUACUGAAGGAGGGGCUUGCGUCUGCUUAGCUAGUUGGAGGGGUAACGGCCCACCAAGGCGAUGGUCAGUAGCCGGUCGGAGAAGAUGAACGGCCACAUUGGGACUGAGAAACGGCCCAGACUCCUACGGGAGGCAGCAGUGGGGAAUCUUCCGAAAUGGACGAAAGUCUGACGGAGCAACGCCGCGUGAGUGAUGACGGCCUUCGGGUUGGAAAGCUCUGUUAAUCGGGACGCGGUACCGGAAUAGAAAGCCACGGCUAACUACGUGCCAGCAGCCGCGGUAAUAC